CUAUACCCCUAACAAUUUUUAAAUUUUCAGGAAGGUCCAAUGCCCCUCUUGGCUCUAAACUCCCUCCCUCCGUCCCUGAACGUGUCCCUUAUAAAACCUUUGACCCUCCUCUUCCUUGAACUAGCUUUGGAGUAAGUUAAGCCUUGCCCAUUUUCUGAAAAAAUUCUUUAUAGACUUGGCAUUUUUCCAUACCAAUUCCAAUAGAUUCCGUAGAAGUGACCCAAAAGGUUUGAAAAAACUGAAGCUGCUUUAUGAGCUAGAUCUAAGAAGCAAUCGUUUUGCAAGCAGGUUUCCAUUUGUAGUUCUUGACUUGCCAGAGCUCAAGUAUCUUGAUCUUUGAUUCAAUGAGUUCAAAGGUAAUGCUCCAAGGGAGCUCAUGUAUCUUGACUUGCCAUACUCGUGUUUUAAUUGGUCGUUACUAAUCUAUUUUUUAGUAGUGUUUUGUGCUUGAAAAAUAGAAAUUAUAGAAAAUUAAUUAAAUUCAUUGUUUUCACUAAGUAUCUACACUAAGGCGUAUAAAUUAAUUUAUACACUCAAUCAAUUAAAAUUAAUGAAACCUUAUUUUGUAAUUGAUGCCAUUAUGUUUUAUAAUAAAGAUUAGCAUUAUUUUAAUGAUAUACCAGUUUUUAAUUGGAUAGAUGCAUACACCUAGGCAAGAAACACUCUAUCACCAAAUAAUCAAAACCCCAUAUCAUCAAUCAUAACCAUUAAAUCAGGAUUUCAGACCUAUUAUUUAUGCAGCUCAAUCACUGAUAUGGCAAAAUUAGACAUACAUUCCAUAUCUGAAAUCUAAAAUUGGAAUCCCAUAAACCAAACAAGCUAUAAUUAAUCCUCUUUAGGGUUCAAAAAGCAACUGACUCUAUGACUUCUGUAUGGAUUGUAAGUUGGUGUGAUCAAUCGCUCAGGCCUUCCCAAUAAACUCCACAUCAAAUAGGAGAACUGAAUCUGGAGGAAUGAUGCACGACCCUUCUCUGCAUCCAGCGCCUCUCAUGCCAUAUCCUAGCUCUGGAGGAAGCUUCAGGAUUCGUUUUCCCCCUAAAUUACAACAAACAAAAUGUAUAAUGCUAAUUAUAACUAGAGAUGGAUCUAAACAUCAUUCCCCGAGACCUCUAAUUAAAUCUCAUGCAAAAAUGUAAAAUUUAUUCGGGAUGUAAGCAAUAUAAGCUCGAUUUUAUAUCAGAGCUAAUUUAGUAGUUCUUAAAUCCAAUAUUUGUUUUAAAAUUUAUACAUUCGUUAUUUCAAUUUUGCGUAUAUUUUAGUUAACUCUACACAAAUCUCAACAUAAAUUUUUAUUUGACUUGUUUUUAUGUAAGAUAAGUUUAUAUUAGAUAAGUUUAUAUUAGAUGUACAAUUCAUGUGUGAUAUAUACAUACCAGCUUGCAUUGGAGGAACUCCAUCACCGCCUAGAAUACCUUGAUCCCAGCCUUUGAUGACCUGGGGAAAAGACUAAUCAAUUCCCCAUUAAGAUUUUCGAAAAUUUAUCAUCUGAAGCCAAAUUAAUUGGGAUUUACCUCCCCAAUUUUUUUGAUAGGAUAACAUAUUGCAGACCAACAAUUUUACCAAAAUGAGCCGAAGAUGGCAAGCACGAUGUUUCCAUUAAAUAAUUGACACAGAAAUGUACAUACCUCACCAACACCUACACGAAAUGUGAGAGGCUUUCCUCGAUUGUAACUGCUAUCGAAAACCUUGCCAUUCUCCAAUUUCCCAACAUAAUGUGCCUUGAUGAGCUGUCCCUUGAUAGCCUCAGAGCCAGUCCCCACAACCUUGUCACAGAAGGCAAGGCCAGAAGGUGUUACAGUUAGUUCACAUAGACCUGCUCCUGCUUCUGCUUCUGCUUUUGCUUCUGCUGGUGCUGCAGUGGUUAGUGGUUGCAAGAAAACAUCAACAAUACCUGUAAGGAAGCCAGCACUAAUUGCUUCUCUUCUUUUGAGCAAAGCUUGGCUUUCCUUUAGCUGCAGUAAGGAAACAAAACUGUCUUGGUUCUGGCUUAAGAAUUUGAAUUUGAAAUUUGAUGCUUCUGCCGUGUUAAGAUUACAAAUGGGUAUGUUGAGCUUUCUUGGAGUAUAAUUUCCAACUGAAAAUGCCAAUGAAGUCAUCUCCACCGAAAAGAGUUUUGAAAGAGAGAAAACGAGAUUGGGUGCUGCAAUUUCUUUCAAUUAAUGGUGGGACUGGCAAG
rnacentral:misc_RNA from 1 species